rnacentral:lncRNA from 1 species
AAAAAAAAAAAAAAAAGUUCUAAAAGUUUGAAUAAUUUGUCCAUUAAUUCACUCGAGGUCUACAAAAUUUAUUAGUUUUCUACUUUUCUGUUAAUGGCAUUGGAGAAUCUCAUAAAUAAAAAAAAUAAUCAUUUUCCUUUAAAGUUCAAUUUAAUAUUAUGAUGUAGGACAUCUUUUGACAAGGGUUAAAUAAGGCAAACAAUAGCAGGUUUGAGAAUAUAUCGUUUCGAAACUCUAAAAAAUGUAUUAAUAUAUCUCGUCGAAUCUCUCGAAAAGUCAUACUUUUUUUGUCCUAAAUAUUAUGUUAUUUAGUACCUCAAUAGAAAACUCGUUAGAUUUUUCUUCUUUUUUUUUUUUAAUUUUAGGGAAGUUGGUUUUAGAAGUCUUUUUAUUUAUUUUUAUUUGAGCAAGUAAAAAUACUUCAUAGAAAUUUAUAAGUUUUUGAUUGAAUAUUUCUAUAAGCUUAAACAAAAAAAGGCUUUUUUUAUUGAGUAAUAUUUCUACGUACGUAUUUCUAUGGUCCUUGUUAAUUUUUUUUUUUUUUUUGCUAUAAAAUCUCACAAAUAUUUCGAAAACAAGAUAUUGCACUUUUUCCACUUGAUUUAAUUCGCAGGACCACUUAGGUGCAACUCUCCUGAUGCGUAAGUUUACCGGAUAUGGAUAUAGCCAAACGCUUGCGCAUUCUAUCAACGAGGAGAAAUAAAAAAGAGUUUCCAUAUAAAAAAAAGUUCAUCAUCAAUCUCGAAAAUAUAUGAAUAAAAUGUUUUUUUUAAUACAACUCCACAAAUAUUUUAAUGAAAAAGAGAGAGUUUUUAUUUACUAUGAAUCAAAUUCACUCUUAAUACAAAAUCAAUCACAUUAAUAUUAUGAUAUUUACGAUCUAAAAUCUAUCCAUCCGUUCAGGGGCGGAUGCAGUGCAGGACCACUGGGGGCUCAAGCCCCCACUAAAAAAAAAAAUCUGUUUUUGUUUAAAAGAAAAUUUAAAAUUUAAAAUAUUCCCUGAAAAAAUUAUUAGAUAACUUCAUUCUUUAAAAUUUAAACUAUUAUUUUAAUAAUUAUAAAGUAAUAAUUUUACUUUAAAAAAUAAAACCCACAGCCCAAAAUAUUUAUAAUCCCAAAACUGAACCGUGAGUGCCAAACUUGUAAUUAGGAGUUGUCUUAAAGAAAAGAGGAAGUUGCAGGCAUCAUUUCUGUUCUUUAUUCUCAUAAUCGCAGUGAAAAAAACGAAAGGAGAAAGAGCCAGGAGGGGAGUGAUUUAUUAAUUGUUGUGGGCUUGAGUGGGUGGGACGUGGGACGUGGGACCGACUUGCCUUUACAUCAAUUUUGCAUCAUAUAAACAUGUUCUUUUCGGUUUUUUUUUUUUAAAUUAAGUUAAGAAUUUCGUAUUUUAUUUUUUGUUCACAUGUCAACACAUCUCUAUAUAAAUGGUAAUUGUUCAAGUGACUAAUUCUAGUCUUUACAAUUUCUUUUUUUAGUGAUUUUGUUUAUAACUAUUAGUAAAUUAAUUUUUUCAAUUGUAAUUAAUUUAUUUUUACAUAAGUACUCAUAUAUAUAAUUUUGAGUAAUGAAAUUUGUGAAGAAUGAACUUCGAAAUCGGAUAGGAGAUGAAUGGAUGAAUGAUAAUUUGAUUAUUUGUGUAGAAAAAAAUGUAUUUAAUAAUAUUGAUAAUGAGUCUAUUGUACAAUAUUUUCAAAAUAUAAAAUUACGUAGAGAACAAUUGUAAGUGGGUUACCAAAAAUUUUAUGUAUUUAAGUUUUAAUUUUUAUAUUUUAUUAUUAUUUAAUUUAACCCCGAUAAAUAAUUUUUUUAAAUCUGCCACUGCAUCCGUUCAUAAAAUGAUCCUCAAAUCCCAUUAUGAACACACUCAAUUCCCCGUAAUCUUUUGUUUUAUUAUUCUAAAGCGCCUUAGCAAUUAAGUCUUGCACCUUCAAUCAUUUUCACGUAUCAAAAGAGAAAACUCUAUCAAAUGAAAAAAAAAAAAGAAAAAUGAAACCAAUAACCAUUCGACAACAAAUCAUAUUCAGUGAUCUCCCAUUAAAUGAAACCAGUAACCAACAACCAAAUGGAUGGAUCGCAUACAACUUAACCGCAAUGAACAAAUGAAUAAAUUAUGCUUUAUGAAUAACUUCUUCAUUCAUUAAUUGCAUUUGUAUUCAUUUUGGCCAACCAAGAAUAUAUAUAUUAAAUUAUUACAUAAACUAUCUACAAAAAGUUUUACAAAUUACAAAAUAAAAAAUCGAGAUUAUAUAUUAUAAAAAAAAAAUGAAAAGUUAUGUAUUUUUGGUAAUUUUUUUUCUUUUUUUAAGACAUAAAUACAAUAUUCAAAAGGACGGUGGCAAAGUUUUGGCUAAUCCAUUGUAAUUAGCAAAAACUCCAAGCAAAUCUUGCCGAUAAGGUAAAUAAGAUUUCUUCUUGUCACCUUGUUUAAUCGCUCUGUUCUUCACAUAAAAGGCUUCGUGCGCCGACACGGCGGCUGCUUGUGCCUUUGUUUUGGCUUUUGCUUUUGAUUUGCCGGAUUUGACUUUUUUCUCUUUCGAAGAAUCAGCGUGGCUGUUGCUGCUGCUGCUGCUGUUUUUAUUGUUAUUAUUAUUAUUAUUCUUCGGUUUAUUCAAAAACACAAACGAGUCUUUGCCGUCGCUGUUGCUUCUCCUCAGCAAAUCGCGGAGUUUAAACCAUUUCUUCGACGGCGUUGACGACGACGACGAUCCAGUUGAGUUGCUCUUCUUGCAUCGACUCGGCGACUGCAACGGCGACGCUGACGAUGUUGGAUUGUUAUUUCUCUUAGGCGACCAAAUGCAGAAAGUUACGUUCAUAUUCGGUUCCGGUUCCGGUUCGUCUUCGUCCGAUGAAGACGACGACGACGACGCUUGCCUGCCAGCAUCAUCAUCAUCAUCGUGAUCAUCAAUAAACAACUUCUUAAACGCCGCCGCCGCGUGUCCCCCUUCGUUUCCUCGAUCAUGAUCGUCGUAAACUUCGUUUAAUAAAAGACUGCGAUUGAACACUGGAAAAACCUGACGGAUCUCGCCGUCGAGAAACAACCUGGAAUCGAGAUCUGCGAUCGUAGAAACAAACUCGAAUUCAUCGUCUUCAUCUACAUAUUCUUCUUCUUCUUCCUCGUCUUCUUCUUCUAACAGAACUUUUGAUUCGGAUUUCGAUUCUUCAUCUCGAAACUCUUCGCUAACUUUGGCGGCGAUGUUCACUAUUCUUUCGGAAGCGUAGCUGUUGAAACUGGGGCAAAACGACACCGCAGCGGAGCUCAUACUCAAGCUCCCGUCUUGUUGCUGUUGCAUCUUGAUGACUUUUUUUUUUCUUUUCUUUUCCCUUGAGAAGUUUGAGUUAUGGAUUUUUGUUUAUGCGUGCGUAUAUAUAUAUACCCACACACACACACACAAAAACAAAGAAGCGUGGGAAGGUGAAAACUAAAAGAGAGUGAGAUCUUAGAAUAUUGCGUUGUCACAUUUUGAGCUUCUUCGAUACUUCUUUCUUACCUUAACAGUCCACACGCUUCUCUCGCACUUGCUUCACGCGUGUCCCAAUCUAAUUAAUUCUUCGC